rnacentral:rRNA from 1 species
AGUGAACGCUGGCGGUAGGCCUAACACAUGCAAGUCGAACGGCAGCACAGUAAGAGCUUGCUCUUACGGGUGGCGAGUGGCGGACGGGUGAGGAAUACAUCGGAAUCUACUUUUUCGUGGGGGAUAACGUAGGGAAAUUUACGCUAAUACCGCAUACGACCUACGGGUGAAAGCAGGGGAUCUUCGGACCUUGCGCGAUUGAAUGAGCCGAUGUCGGAUUAGCUAGUUGGCGGGGUAAAGGCCCACCAAGGCGACGAUCCGUAGCUGGUCUGAGAGGAUGAUCAGCCACACUGGAACUGAGACACGGUCCAGACUCCUACGGGAGGCAGCAGUGGGGAAUAUUGGACAAUGGGCGCAAGCCUGAUCCAGCCAUACCGCGUGGGUGAAGAAGGCCUUCGGGUUGUAAAGCCCUUUUGUUGGGAAAGAAAAGCAGCAGGUUAAUACCCCGCUGUUCUGACGGUACCCAAAGAAUAAGCACCGGCUAACUUCGU